CCCCUGGGCUCAAGUCAUCCUCCCACUUUGGCCUCCCGAAAUGCUAGGAUUACAGGUGUAAGCCACCGUACUCAGCCCUAUCUCUGGUUUUAAUAUCAGGGAACUACUAACUUCAUAAAAUGAAUUGGAAACUGUUCCCUCCUCUUCUAUUUUCUGAAAGAGAAUGUAGGGAGAUGGUGUGAAUUCCUCUUUAAACAUUUGGUGGAAUUCUUCAGCGAAACCAUCUGGAUCUGGAGACUUCUUUUUUGGGAGUUUUAAAAUUGCAAAUUCAAUUUCCUUAACAGUUGUAGGCAUAUUCAAAUUAUCUAGUUCACAUUGGGUGAGUCGUAGUCAUUUGUAUUUUUCAAGGAAUCAGUCCUCUUUAACUCAGCUGUCAAAUGAAUGUGUGUUCUCAGUAGCUUUUAAAAACUCCCUUCUCUCCGUUAGUUUCUCUCACAUUGAAAUGAGAUGCUGAUUCCCUCACAAGCCUUCCCUUCAUCCAGAUCAAAUGACAAAAUGCAUUAUCCUGUGCCCUGACCCAGGAGAGCAUCCUCGACAGGCAGAGCCCAGGAUGGAGGAGUCCCAGGGUGAACCCACAGAGUUUUGGGGAACCAGCUGGCCUUGGACCUCUCUGAAGAACUCUGGAAGCAGAGGGAACUGGCGAUCUUAUCAGUCACCUAAGCCUCCCUGGAGAGACCUCCCAGGAAGGGAGUUCUAGAAGUCAGAAGUCUGUAAUCAAGGUGUUGGCAGAGCUGUGUUCUCUCUGGAGACCUCAGGGGAAAAUCCAUUCUCUUACCUUACCCAGCUUCCAGAGGCCGUCCACGUUGCUGGCCCUGUGACCCCUUCUUACAUCUCUCCAAACGCUAGCUGCCAUCACCCAUCUCCUGCUGCUAAUUUGAUCCUCUUGCCUCCUUUUAAGGAUCUGUACCUUGGACUCAAACAGGACUUGCUCGGUGAGCGCAUUACUUCUAUUUCACUGGAAGUCACUCUCCAGUCUUGAGGAUUCUAGCCUUCUGAUGAAGCCAACGCUGAUUGCGGCAGAGAGAAGGUACAGAAAGGGACGAGCCUCCUCGGGAUCUCCGCAAGCUGCUUGACCAUACUGCUGGACUCUUCCGGGUAGCUGGCAAAUUUCCACAUUAUUUCAACUGGCUGGGACUGGACUUGUGAUUGAGGCAGAAAGCAUCAUACCCUAAGCCCUCCCCAUAGCCGCCCUCACAUCUUUGAUUGUAUGUUAACACCACUACAGAAUCAAUCAAAUGCAUUACCUUGCAAAAGUUGUUGAAAAAAGCCCCAUUUGGAGAAGGUGUUCUGUGGAAGCAAUCAUUCCUUACGCUCCCCUCUCCUGCCACAUCCCCCGUUGCAUCUUUUGCCCAUUGUUUUGCUACUAUUUUUUUUUCUAGACCUGCAGCUCUCAAACUUUGGUUGCAUCAGAAUCAUGGCUGGGAAGUCUGUUCUGUAAAAUGCAGAUUUCCAGGUCUCACUUUUAGAGCCUAGCCUAGUUCAGUGUGAAGUUCAGGUCUUCGUCGUCUGCCUUGUCACUAAGCUCUCCAGGGCACUGUACUGCCGCCAGAUUUGGGAACCGCUGCUCAGGUGCAACUCUAUUUCAGAUUGUGCCGGGGAAUCACAGGCAAGGCGGCCCAGGGCUGAUAAAGAGACGAAGCUGAUUGAGGGGAAUCAACAUCAUGCUUGUUUCUUACUCCUACAGAUGCACAAUGAAACAUAUGAGUAAAAAAUGACAUUUCCUUUGAGAACAGCUUGGACAGUGACCCGAACAGCCCAAGAAAAACCUCAGUGGACUUACAUGAACCUGAUUUGGCUCAAAAUUAAGCACCAUGUGGAAGAUCUUGCCCUUGUGAAAUGACAAAUUGAAUGUGUUCAGAAAUUGCAUUUGAACUAGUUGAGAUCCUGACCCAGCAGAUUCUCUCCAUUGCUUUCUUGGCUUGCACACUUCAGUGAGGCAAUCUGCCUUGUUGAAAGGCCCACAUGGCAAGGAACUGAGGAAAGCCCCUGACCAACAGCCAGCCAGGAACUGAGGUUGUCAGUCCAACUACCCCGAUGAACUGAAUGUUGAUCCUCAUGAAUUUGGAGUGUGUUCUUCCCAGUUGUGCUGUGGAAUGAGAGUGUGGCACCAGCCAACAAUGUGACUGUCCCCUGAGAAAGACGCAGAAGCAGAGGGGACAGCUAAGCCAGGUAUUUCACCCACAAAACUGAGAUAAUAUAUGUGUGUUUUUUAAGCUGUUAAGUUUUGGGACAAUUUGUUAUGCUACAAUAUAUAAUUAAUGCACAAGAUUUUUGGCAACUGGAAGAAUAAAAUUAGUAUUUAGUAUUUAUGAUAACACAAGAUGAGUGUAGGUAGAAGGUUUCUUUAUAGGAAGAUU